UUCUGUAGAGCGACUGAUCCGUAGGCAUUUUCCAUCUAUUUCCAAAAAUAUACCAGUGUGACAAGUAUAUCGAACUUAUAACAAGAAUAUAUUGAACUUGUAACAAGAAUAUAUUGAACAUGUAAUAGUUCACUAUAUGACAUGAUGCAUUACAAACACUAAAUUGUAUCUUCUUAUUUCAUUCUUUAUACACUUGGUGCGUUGGUGAAUCACAAACACCACCAUAUGUCCAAUCAAUUCCAUAGAAGUCACCCACCCGUUUACCAUGGAAAGUUAUGAUGAACAUAAUACAUUUUGUUAUGAACACAACACGCAUCUCCACAUAAAUAUACACAAUUAAACAAGUAAACAAUAAAACAAACUCCCCCUCCAAUUGAGCAGCAGCUAUAGAUGCAUUCUAGGCGUCAUCAAUAUUACAAAACGAAAGAUUCAUGAAUUCUCUAUAAAUUCUGACAUGUACCUUCUACAAUGAUUAGUGAGUCCUGGUUCAUCGCCAUACCUGCCAACAAAAACAAUAAACACAACAACAAUAUUGCUUUAAAAAAUUUAUACCAAAAAUUAAGAACAACUAUUCAAAAAAGUAGACAUAUAAGUUCAACCUACUUUUCGAUUAUAUCCUACUUUUGGGUUACCCAAAUCCCAUUGACAUAGUUCUAAAACUAGGCAUUAAAAAAAACCACAAUUUUCAGAAAAAAAUUGUACUUUUCGAAAGCAUCCUCUGAUUCCCAAAUUCAAUCAUACGAAAUAUAUCUACCUAGAAAAUGUUGCGUAUUUUUUUAUUUUUAUUUUUGGUCUGUGCUGUAUUAAGAUUUUGAUUUCGUUUCUCGAAAUUUUAUGAACAAAAUUAUGAAAAACAACUGAUAUUCGAUGCCCAUAUAUCUAAUCAAACAAUUCUACCUCCAACAGUAGUUCUUUCGCUUGAUUGCACUUGUGGUUGGAAGUCGAAGCCGCCGUUGUCGUUUCUCGAACAAGCUCGUUCUACGAGAUCUUAUAACCAAAAAAAUUACAAUUUGAAGCUGAAAGUUUUCAUAAAAUUCGAAUCUCCAUCCGAACGGAAGGUGAAGAAGUCACAGGAUCUGAUUUGGAUUAAGAUUAUGGACGAAUUCUUUGAGACGAAUAUGACCUUUUACGAUUUUAAUAAAUAUUUUAAAGCAUAUUCAACGAAUUAAUUAUUAUAACCUGGAACUAAUCUGGUCCGUCAAAUUAUCUAGAUUAAACGGACAUGAUAUAUUCUUUAUUCUAACUCUUAGGAAGCUUUCUCAAUUGAAGCUGACCCUAUAUAUGUGUAUAUAUUUAUCUACUUUAUUACAAACACAUUUAAAAUAUUAUAUAAUACUCCCUCCGUCCCAUUAUUUCCGGCCACAUUCUUUUCGGCACGGAGAUUAAGAAAUGUAUAGUUAGUGUUUAUUUAGUGGAGCCCCUACAAUUUGACUUUUUUGUGAUACUUAAUUCAAAUUUUAAUCCCAACCAACUUUGCAACGACGCCGGCGACGACAAUCGCCGGUCACCCCUCACCUUCACAGGUGAACCAACAGCAGCCGAGCUUUGGUGCCCAUCAAAACCAGGCUUCGAUUUUCAGCCAAAAACUGAAAAAAGGCUUCGAUUUUCAAUCAAAAACCAAAAAAAAAAGCUUCGAUUUUCAACCAAAAACCAAACCAUGCUUCGCAUCAUCGCAUCACCUUCAUCACCCCGAACCAGGCUUUGAUUUUCAGCCAAAUACCAAAAAAUGAAAGAGACAACCCAAUUGAUACUCCUUCACUCACCCCCAAAUCGCGGACCCAGGCCUCAAUAGGGCGGAAACUCGAAAGGGUCGUGGCUAGAAUUGCCGGUGUACCGAAGGAGGCGGCGGCGCCGUGCCUGGAAUUGCCGCAAUUGACUUCGAUCGCAGCCCUAGCCCCCAAAAUCACGCGGUGAGAAGAAAGGGGCGAGAAGCGGCAUCGGCCAUAGGGGCGAGAGGCAGCGGCGGCCAAAGGGGCGAGAAGCGGCGUCGGCCGGAAGGGCGAGAAGCGACGGUGGCCAUGGGGGUGGCAUCCCGCCGGAGAAGAAGAGAGAAAGGAUAAGCCGCUGCUGUGGUGUGUUUGUGCGUGAAUAGUGUGUGUUUUUAUUUUAAACAUGAUUUAGGGGUUCAAUUAGUAACUUAAUUAGUGGUUCUAAUUAAAUUAAAUUAUUUCCUUUUUUAGAAAGUGGCCAGAAAUAAUGGGACAGACUAAAAAGGAAAUGUGGCCAGUUUUAAUGGGACGGAGGGAGUAACUUCUUAAAUUUCAUUUUUAGAAAAAAUAUAUCAAGAUAACUGAAACGAAGAAGAGAGUAAAUAGGAUUCAACUUUCUCCACAUUCAAUUAUAAAAGGGUAGUAAGACAAUUUUGAUAUAAAGGCCUUAGAGCAAUCACAGCAGAAAUCCCAAAAUUAUGCUCUUAUAUUCCUCCCUAAAGCUUCCCUAUUUAAUUUUAGGAUCUCAAUUUUAUAAAUGCAUACACCAGAUCUCCUAUUUUCUACAUAAAAAUAAUAAUUAUGUGUGGGCCCUACUAAUUAUAAGCUUAAAAUAAAUUUAGGGUGGGUGUAAAUUUAAGAUUGAAUUUAGGUAGGUGUAAAUUUUUUUAUGGGCCCCAUCCAAUUUAGGGGAUCUGCUGGAUGUAUUUUUUUUUUCUCAUUUUCAAUUGUUUUAGCCUAAAUUUAGAGUUAGUGAUGCAUUUAGGUGAUCUGCUGGGAGUGCUCUUAGUAAUGGAUGUGUACUAUUUGGCUCUUGUGGAAGCGAAGAAACAAAAGUAGAUUCGAUGGGAAAGGGUGGGAGACUCAAAAGUUGAUUCAGGAAAUCAAAGGUAGAUUGUGGAGCUGGAAUAAAACUUUUAAUAUGUUGAAUCUGGAUUUAAAUUUUACCUCUUGGUGCUCAAGUUCCUGUUCGAUCUCCUCUUGUAUUUAUUUAUACGUGGUACCUAUGAUUUUGCUAAUGAAAAUUUUCUUGACCAAGAAAAAAAAAAAAAAAACAAGGCCUUAGUAAUGACCAUUCUUGUUAUCCAAAGUAAAGUUGGGUUGUCCAAUAAAAUAUUUUCAUGUCCUAAUAUACUAUCACUAAUAAUAAAUUAAUAAUGCAAUCGGAGAGGUGACCAAGUGAGUCUACUAAUAACAAAAUACUAGUAUAACUAGAGAUAUACUUCCUCCGUCCCAAUAAUGAAGUCUCCUUUGUUUUGGGUACGGAUAUUUAGGAGAGGUAAAGUUGAUGUUAAAUUAGUAGGGACCACAUAAUUAGUGCUUUAAUUAAUGUUAUUUUAUUUCUUAAUUAAAGCAACUAAUCAAGUCUCUGCGCCUCUCUCUCUCUGCACGUGAGUUCUGCGCCGUCGUUCGCCGGCUGUUUCAGCCGCCGGCGAGGCUGUUGGCCGUGACUCCGUCCCCCUUUCUCUGGCUCACUGAACACCCACACAUACACUCAAUCGAAACAUGCAAGUUCAGCCCCAAAACUUCCUCCUCCAUCUGGAAUCCACCGCCGUCGCUGCUGAGGGGCCGGCAAGUCGCCGCCCUUAUUCCUUCUUCGGUUGGCGUCACUUCCCCCUUCCUCUUCACUGUCAUUCUCUCCAUUCCUAUUCCUCACACUCAAUUUCUCUUCCUCACACUCAAUUUCUCAAAUCGAGCCCAAAUCUCUUCUCUCUCUUCUCGCCGUUCUCUCUUGCAAAACACACACACACACAGAUCUCUAGCAGAACACACACAUACAUAAAGGCAUCCUCCACCACAAAAAUCAAAGAUAUAUAAAAUUUUCAUCCCAAAAAUCAAAGAUACACAAUCAAAGAUACAGAGUCGAGAAGGGCUCGAGCUUUCCAAUUCGAAAUAUUCCGACGAGGAGAAGGUAGAGGAAAUUGAAGGAGAACCGACGACUGGCUACGCCGGCUGGUGGGAGUCGUGGUCGCAGAAGCCCUCCGGCGACUGGAAGUGGAUGAGUCGCGGCGGAGAAGAGCCGCAAGUGGACGCCUGAACGGUGGGGUGCGAACUGCGAAGGGGUGGGUGGCCUGACCGCCUGAGUCGCGCCGCGCGAACGACGGCGCCGAACGGAGAAUUAAACGAGAGAGGAGCUCCGCCUGAGUUCCAAGAGAGAAAUCAAGGCCGAGGAGAGCGACGCGGCUGUGCUACAGAGAGAGAGGCGGUGAUUUGAGAGUGAAGAGAGGAGAGAGUGACAGAGAGAGAGAAUAGAGAGAGAAGAGAGAGAGAGCAUUGUUAAUUAAGUAACUAAUUUUAUCCAAAAAGGGAAAGGAGACUUGAAUAUUGGGACGGCUCAAAAAGGAAUACGAGACUUGAAUAUUGGGACGGAGGGAGUAUUUUUUUAAUAUAUUUUUGGUUGUUUUCCCGUUUUUUGUUUUGUUUUUUUUUUUAGUUUUAUUUCUUUCUCUUUUUUUUUUUUUUACUUUUUUUUCCUUUUUCUGUUUUCUUAUUUUUUUUUAUCUUUAUAUAUAUAUUCUUUUUCUUUACAAUAUUUUUGUUCUAUUGCAUUAUUUUUUAAUUUUAUUGUUUUUCUUUUGCAUUUUUUAAUAUAUUUUGGUUUUUUUAUCCUUUCGGUAUUUUCUUUAUUUUUCGUUUGUUUUUUAUUUUUUUUUUCUUUUGUAUUUUUUAUAUAUUUUUGUGAAAAAUGUAAUAUUUUAAAAUAUUACAUUUCUUCAAAAACGUUACAUUUCUUCGUGUCAAUAAUUAUUUUUUAUAAUAAUAAUUAUUAUUUGAUAAAAUAACUAAAUGUAAUGUUUCUAAAUAAUUACAUUUGUUCACGAUAAUUGUUACUUUUAUUUAUGAGAAUUUGUACUUUUAGUUAUUUGAUCAAAUAAUUAUUUGUGUAAGCAAAAGUAAUAGUACUUUUAGGGUUUAGUAUUCCGUAUUCAGGUUUAAAAAAUAUUGAAUGAUGGUUAAUACUAAUAUUCACAUAAUUAAGUAUACAUUUAUGCAUGGAAAUGUAUGUUUUAGAUAGAAUAAAAGUAAAUAUUGCCAUUUGAGUUUAAUAUUGAAUGGUUAGGGUUUAGUAUUCAGUGUUUUAGGUUUAGUAUUCCCUAUUUAGGGUUUAGUAUUUCCUAUUUUAGGGUUUAGUAUUCAGUGUUUACAAAAUAUUGAAUGAUGGUUAUUAAUACUUAUAUUCACAUAAGUAUACAUUUAAUCAUGAAAAUGUAUAUCUUAGAUAAAAUAAAAGUCAAUAUUGUCAUUUGGAUUCAUUAUUGAAUGACUAGGGUUUAUUAUUGAAAAUGACUAGGGUUUAGUAUUACUAAUUAGUUUAAGGUUUAAAAAAUAUUGAAUGAUGGUUAAUAUNAUAUAUUGAACAUGUAAUAGUUCACUAUAUGACAUGAUGUAUUACAAACACUAAAUUGUAUCUUCUUAUUUCAUUCUUUAUACACUUGGUGCGUUAGUGAAUCACAAACACCACCAUAUGUCCAAUCAAUUCCAUAGAAG
rnacentral:lncRNA from 1 species